rnacentral:rRNA from 1 species
UACGUAGGGGGCAAGCGUUGUCCGGAAUCAUUGGGCGUAAAGCGCGUGUAGGCGGCUGACUAAGUCCGCUCUGAAAGCCCGGGGCUCAACCCCGGGAGGCGGGUGGAUACUGGUCAGCUCGAGUCCGGAAGAGGAGUGUGGAAUUCCUGGUGUAGCGGUGAAAUGCGCAGAUAUCAGGAGGAACACCAAUGGCGAAGGCAGCACUCUGGGACGGUACUGACGCUGAGACGCGAAAGCGUGGGGAGCAAAUAGG